rnacentral:rRNA from 1 species
GAUGAACGCUGGCGGCGUGCCUAAUACAUGCAAGUCGAGCGAACAGACGAGGAGCUUGCUCCUCUGACGUUAGCGGCGGACGGGUGAGUAACACGUGGAUAACCUACCUAUAAGACUGGGAUAACUUCGGGAAACCGGAGCUAAUACCGGAUAAUAUAUUGAACCGCAUGGUUCAAUAGUGAAAGACGGUUUUGCUGUCACUUAUAGAUGGAUCCGCGCCGCAUUAGCUAGUUGGUAAGGUAACGACUUACCAAGGCAACGAUGCGUAGCCGACCUGAGAGGGUGAUCGGCCACACUGGAACUGAGACACGGUCCAGACUCCUACGGGAGGCAGCAGUAGGGAAUCUUCCGCAAUGAGCGAAAGCUUGACGGAGCAACGCCGCGUGAGUGAUGAAGGUCUUCGGAUCGUAAAACUCUGUUAUUAGGGAAGAACAAAUGUGUAAGUAACUAUGCACGUCUUGACGGUACCUAAUCAGAAAGCCACGGCUAACUACGUG